rnacentral:misc_RNA from 1 species
GAUGAAGAACGUAGCGAAAUGCGAUAAGUAAUGUGAAUUGCAGAAUUCAGUGAAUCAUCGAAUCUUUGAACGCACAUUGCGCCCUUUGGUAUUCCUUAGGGCAUGCCUGUUCGAGCGUCAUUUAAACCUUCAAGCUCAGCUUGGUGAUGGGUGACUGUCCUCCCCUCGCGGGGGGACUCGCCUCAAAAACAUUGGCGGCCGGUACAUUGGCUUCGAGCGCAGCAGAAACGCGGUCUCGAGCCCGGUGGAUCGGCUCCCAUAAGUCUAUUCUUUUAUUUUGACCUCGGAUCAGGUAGGGAUACCCGCUGAACUUAAGCAUAUCAAUAAGCGGAGGA